GGAUUAGCUCAGUUGGUAGAGCAUCGGUCUCCAAAACCGAGUGUCGGGAGUUCGAGUCUCUCAUC
rnacentral:tRNA from 1 species